UACGGGGGGAGCAAGCGUUGUUCGGAUUUACUGGGCGUAAAGGGCGCGUAGGCGGCCAGCACAAGUCAGUUGUGAAAUCUCCGAGCUUAACUCGGAAAGGUCAACUGAUACUGUGCGGCUAGAGUGCGGAAGGGGCAACUGGAAUUCUUGGUGUAGCGGUGAAAUGCGUAGAUAUCAAGAGGAACACCUGCGGCGAAGGCGGGUUGCUGGGCCGACACUGACGCUGAUGCGCGAAAGCUAGGGUAGCAAACGGG
rnacentral:rRNA from 1 species